rnacentral:rRNA from 1 species
ACUCCUACGGGAGGCAGCAGUGGGGAAUCUUGGACAAUGGGGGCAACCCUGAUCCAGCCAUGCCGCGUGAGUGAUGAAGGCCUUAAGGGUCGUAAAGCUCUUUCGCCUGUGAAGAUAAUGACGGUAGCAGGUAAAGAAACCCCGGCUAACUCCGUGCCAGCAGCCGCGGUAAUACGGAGGGGGUUAGCGUUGUUCGGAAUUACUGGGGCGUAAAGCGCACGUAGGCGGAUCGGAAAGUUGGGGGUGAAAUCCCGGGGGCUCAACCCCGGAACUGCCUCCAAAACUAUCGGUCUAGAGUUCGAGAGAGGUGAGUGGAAUUCCGAGUGUAGAGGUGAAAUUCGUAGAUAUUCGGAGGAACACCAGUGGCGAAGGCGGCUCACUGGCUCGAUACUGACGCUGAGGUGCGAAAGUGUGGGGAGCAAAACAGGAUUAGAUACCCUGGUAGGAUAGCG